GAUGAACGCUGGCGGCGUGCCUAACACAUGCAAGUCGAGCGAAGCACUUACUUUAGAUUUCUUCGGAAUGACGAAGUUUGUGACUGAGCGGCGGACGGGUGAGUAACGCGUGGGCAACCUGCCCUGUACAGGGGGAUAACAGUUAGAAAUGACUGCUAAUACCGCAUAAGCCCACAGCUUCGCAUGAAGCAGUGGGAAAAACUCCGGUGGUACAGGAUGGGCCCGCGUCUGAUUAGCUAGUUGGUAAGGUAACGGCUUACCAAGGCGACGAUCAGUAGCCGACCUGAGGGGUGACCGGCCACAUUGGGACUGAGACACGGCCCAAACUCCUACGGGAGGCAGCAGUGGGGAAUAUUGCACAAUGGGGGAAACCCUGAUGCAGCGACGCCGCGUGAGCGAUGAAGUAUUUCGGUAUGUAAAGCUCUAUCAGCAGGGAAGAAAGUGACGGUACCUGACUAAGAAGCCCCGGCUAACUACGUG
rnacentral:rRNA from 1 species